CAGCUAAUCACGGUCGGACAUCGUGAGGUUAGUGUAAAGGCAUAAGCCGGCUUGACUGCGAGCGUGACGGCGCGAGCAGGCACGAAAGUAGGUUUUAGUGAUCCGGUGGUUCUGAAUGGAAGGGCCAUCUCUCAACGGAUAAAAGGUACUCCGGGGAUAACAGGCUGAUACCGCCCAAGAGUUCAUAUCGACGGCGGUGUUUGGCACCUCGAUGUCGGCUCAUCACAUC
rnacentral:rRNA from 1 species